ACUUUAGCUAAGCUCAUAUAUCCGAUAUAUAAACCAUAAUUGCUUUAUCAAAGAACACCUGUGUUUCUAGUUUGGUUUUCCGCCAAAUUGUGCUCCAAAAAUAAUAAUGACAAUAACAUCAAUAAUGACCAAAUGACAUCACUACCAGUGGGGUGCACUGACGUUACAGUGCAUGUGCCCCUUCCUUGGCCUGGCGUCAGUCAGUCUGGUUCUCUGCAAAACCUUUUCACCUUCGCCAACCUGAUAAGACGUCCAAAGGUUUCUGAGUUUGGUUGACAUUUCUUUAAUUAGGAGAAAAGUCUCUAGUCAAACGUUUACUGGCCAUUAUAGACCUCAGUGGCUAGAAGGCACUGAAAGGUGGAGUCCUAACGUUGGAAAUGUUUGCAGUCAGGUACUAGAAAUCCGAAACUUCAGUCCUCGGUGUUCAGACCCGCCUGCACCCCCGCCCACGCCCACGCCCAUGCUCACGCCGGAGUCUGGCCCCGCCCCCUCAGUCCUCUUCCGCCCUCUCAUUGGCCCUCCUCGCCUGACAGCCAGUCCUCCGCCACUCAACCAGAGAGGACUCCGCCCACUCGACAGCUGGUCCUAGCGUCUUCGUGCAGUCCCUCACCUUUCGUCAGGACGGGGACCAGUCGCCAGAGCACUGAAGGCACAAAAGUCCGGCGCUGACACUCUGGAGCGUCACCCUUUCACCCGCAACGGGGAGAGGUCUUUCCCACUACUGCAACUUCUCCACAGGUGGAAGACGAAAGCGAUCCAAACCUCGCUGCUUCCGGGAACGUUGUUCCCCUGGCAACCAGAAGCGCGCCGCUCCAGUCUCGCGAUAGGAGGAAAAGGCUGUACCAACCGGAAAUAGGACGUGGGGGCGGGCGACCGGGAAGACUGGCGAAGCGACGGGAGUUCCGGGUUAGGCGGUCCUGCUGUCUCCUCAGCGUUUGAGGGAUCGAACUCGGGUCCUUUUGCUUGUGCAGAAAACCACAUUUUAGAGUCAUGCGGAACGCACCGAAUCAGCCCGCUGCAGACAGGCAGGUCUGCGGACGCCCUACCAAGGUCGCAAGGCCCCCAGAAUACCCCGAAUCAGGCCGGGCCCUGGCAGCAAUCCACUGGACACCCCCCCACAUCCCCACUCCUCUGCACAACCACUUGGUUCCACACUACAAAGACGCAGAGGACACCAGACCACCAGACCACUGUAUUGGGUAAGUUAGAGUCAUCUUCACCUCCCAAUAGGAUAGUGUCUAUCUUCAGGGGAAGGGCAACUGGAACCUGCAGUACAACUCUGCAGAGUUCAACCCUACAGGAGGACAGGGAGCUCAACUUGGGACUUGCAGCCAGAAAUCUGCCUGAAUCUCAUGGGUCUGCGACUAGCUUGUUGAGACUCAUUGACUUAUAUCUGCACACUGCAGCCCAACCCACGUUGUCUAUUGUGACAGGAGAGACAUACCCUGAAAGAGGCCCUUCAGCUUCGUGUUUAUUUUUUUUCCCAAAAUUAGUUUUAUUAUUUUGUUCUUUUUCUCUUUUCUUUUGUUUUGCUCCUCUUAUCUUUACUUUUAUUUCCCUACUCUUUGCAAAUAUUUGCUUUUCUCUCCUUUUUUUCUUUUCUUUUCUUCUUUCUUU
rnacentral:lncRNA from 1 species